GAUGAACGCUGGCGGCGUGCCUAACACAUGCAAGUCGAGCGAACCCUUCGGGGUGAGCGGCGGACGGGUGAGUAACGCGUGGGUAACCUGCCCUAUACACACGGACAACGUACCGAAAGGUACGCUAAUACGGGAUAAAGUUGUUGGAUGGCAUCUCCUAACAAUCAAAGCUCCGGCGGUAUAGGAUGGACCCGCGUCUGAUUAGCUAGUUGGAGAGGUAAUGGCUCACCAAGGCGACGAUCAGUAGCCGACCUGAGAGGGUGAUCGGACCACACUGGAACUGAGACACGGUCCAGACUCCUACGGGAGGCAGCAGUGGGGAAUAUUGCACAAUGGGCGAAAGCCUGAUGCAGCAACGCCGCGUGAGCGAUGAAGGUCUUCGGAUCGUAAAGCUCUGUCCUCAAGGAAGAUAAUGACGGUACUUGAGGAGGAAGCCCCGGCUAACUACGUGCCAGCAGCCGCGGUAA
rnacentral:rRNA from 1 species